AUGGAGUCUGGGCUGAGCUGGCUUCUCCUCAUUGCUUUAAUACAAGGUGUCCAGUGUGAGGUGAAGCUGGUGGAGUCUGGAGGAGGCUUGGUCCAGCCUGGCGGGUCUCUGAGACUCUCCUGUGCAGCCUCUGGAUUCACCUUCACUGAUUACUGGAUGAACUGGGUCCUCCAGGCUCCAGGGAAGGGGCUGGAGUGGGUUGGUGUUGUUAGAAACAAAGCUGAUGAUGGAACCACUGAAUAUGCUGCAUCCGUGAAAGGUAGAUUCACCAUCUCAAGAGAUGAUUCCAAAAGUGUUACCCAUUUGCAAAUGAACAACCUGAAACCCGAGGACACAGCUGUGUACUACUGCAUGAGGGGAGAAUUGUCAGUGGACGGCACAGGUGGUCUGAGAAACUGGCUACUCUAA